UACGUAGGGUGCAAGCGUUGUCCGGAAUUAUUGGGCGUAAAGAGCUCGUAGGCAGUUUGUCGCGCUCUGCUGUGAAAAACGCGAGGCUCAACCUCGCGCCUGCAGUGGGUACGGGCAGACUAAGAGUGUGUAGGGGAGAUUGGAAUUCCUGGUGUAGCGGUGGAAUGCGCAGAUAUCAGGAAGAACACCCGUGGCUAAGGCGGCUCUCUAGUACGGUACUGACGCUGAGACGCGAAAGCGUGGGGAGCGAACAGG
rnacentral:rRNA from 1 species